rnacentral:rRNA from 1 species
GACGUAGGGCGCAAGCGUUGUCCGGAUUUAUUGGGCGUAAAGAGCUCGUAGGCGGCUUGUCGCGUCGACUGUGAAAACCCGCGGCUUAACUGCGGGACUGCAGUCGAUACGGGCAGGCUAGAGUUCGGUAGGGGAGACUGGAAUUCCUGGUGUAGCGGUGAAAUGCGCAGAUAUCAGGAGGAACACCGGUGGCGAAGGCGGGUCUCUGGGCCGAUACUGACGCUGAUGAGCGAAAGCGUGGGGAGCGAACAGG